UACAGCCAUAUCAUAUUGAAACACCGAUUCCAGUAUGAUUACCAAAGCUAAGCAAUGUUGAGUCUGGUCAGUACCUAGAUUGGUGACCACUUGGGAAUACCAGGUUUUGUAAG